GCAUCCUUAGCUCAAUCGGAUAGAGUAGCGGACUUCGAAUUCGUUGGUUGUGGGUUCGAAUCCCGCAGGGUGCA
rnacentral:tRNA from 2 species